rnacentral:rRNA from 1 species
CGCGUAGGCGGCUUUAUAAGUCAGAUGUGAAAUCCCACGGCUCAACUGUGGAAGUGCAUUUGAAACUGUGAGGCUUGAGUAUCGGAGGGGAGUGUGGAAUUCCCGGUGUAGAGGUGAAAUUCGUAGAGAUCGGGAGGAACACCGGUGGCGAAGGCGACACUCUGGACGAAUACUGACGCUGAGGCGCGAAAGCGUGGGGAGACAAACA